rnacentral:rRNA from 1 species
GAUGAACGCUGGCGGCGUGCCUAAUACAUGCAAGUCGAGCGAACAGACGAGGAGCUUGCUCCUCUGACGUUAGCGGCGGACGGGUGAGCAACACGUGGAUAACCUACCUAUAAGACUGGGAUAACUUCGGGAAACCGGAGCUAGUACCGGAUAAUAUAUUGAACCGCAUGGUUCAAUAGUGAAAGACGGUUUUGCUGUCACUUAUAGAUGGAUCCGCGCCGCAUUAGCUAGUUGGUAAGGUAACGGCUUACCAAGGCAACGAUGCGUAGCCGACCUGAGAGGGUGAUCGGCCACACUGGAACUGAGACACGGUCCAGACUCCUACGGGAGGCAGCAGUAGGGAAUCUUCCGCAAUGGGCGAAAGCCUGACGGAGCAACGCCGCGUGAGUGAUGAAGGUCUUCGGAUCGUAAAACUCUGUUAUUAGGGAAGAACAAAUGUGUAAGUAACUAUGCACGUCUUGACGGUACCUAAUCAGAAAGCCACGGCUAACUACGUG